AAUACGUUCCCGGGCCUUGUACACACCGCCCGUCACACCACGAAAGUCGGCAACACCCGAAGCCGGUGGCCCAACCCGUUAGGGAGGGAGCCGUCGAAGGUGGGGUCGGUGAUUGGGGUG
rnacentral:rRNA from 1 species